UACGAAGGGGGCUAGCGUUGCUCGGAAUCACUGGGCGUAAAGGGUGCGUAGGCGGGUCUUUAAGUCAGGGGUGAAAUCCUGGAGCUCAACUCCAGAACUGCCUUUGAUACUGAGGAUCUUGAGUCCGGGAGAGUGAGUGGAACUGCGAGUGUAGAGGUGAAAUUCGUAGAUAUUCGCAAGAACACCAGUGGCGAAGGCGGCUCACUGGCCCGGUACUGACGCUGAGGCACGAAAGCGUGGGGAGCAAACAGG
rnacentral:rRNA from 1 species